CGGUAAGGGUAUGGUACUUCGCACCGGAUCCAAUGGGGUGUUCCAUCUUACCGGUGACAAGUGUCCCAAUGGUGGAGACACUUGUCACCACCACACGGCUGGAAGUCUUAAACCUAGAAAGGUAACAUGCAAGACCGAAUCUUUCACUUCUUCGUUCGUUUCUCUCUCCUCUCUAUAUCAAUACAGAGUUGCUUUGCAACUCUCAACUUAUUCUCCGUCCGCUCCCCACCGGAGAAGACGGUGGUUGCCGUCCAACGGCGGCGGCGCCACCUUCUUCUCCGGCGAACCUUACCCAAACCAAGCAAAACUAAACACUAUCCUUCCUAUUUCAAGCUCGUGGUUAAGGAUCCGGCCAUAAAAACAACAAAAAACCAACCAAGAUCCUAGAUCGGAAGCCCUAAUCAUAGAAAAACCUAAAUAGAACUUUUCUCAAACAAAAACUACAUAGAACUUCUCCUCAAGCCAAACGAACAAAAAAAAAACAAUUAAAAGCGAACAUUCAAAGGCAAACCCUAAAUUUGCAAUUGAAGCUACUAUAACAGCGAUUCGGCGCAGUUAUAUUGGGGUUCAUAGUCGGUUCACCAUGGCGAGCAAGAUGAUGCAAAGAUCUUAAGCAAAGAAAGAAAAAAGGAGUAUACUUGAUCGGAGUCCAGUUACUGGCGACGCUUCCCUACCACGUUUGAGAUAAGUCUUCUUUUACUUUCGAUUCCUCUUCGUCUUCUUUUUCUCUGUUCUUCUCUGCUUGCUGUUAAUUAUUGUGCUGGCCUGAGCUCGUCUAUGUUAGAGUUUUAGUGUGAAACUCUAAUUUAGACUUGAAAAUUUAUGAGCUCUAAUGAAGAGGGUUCUUGGGAAUUUUUCCAGAAUAACGGUAGCCUUCCCCCUUCACGAUUGGGACAUGUUCCUCUUUAUAGACCCAGGUGUAUGGUCCCUUUGGCAGAAUCUGUAAGUUGUUAAAGAAUAUUUUUCUCAAAUCUUGCAUAUCUUGUGAGUCCGUUAGGAAUGAAGUCGCUUCUUUUUGUCUGUAGUGGAUGAGGCUUUGGAUCCUCUCAAUUCCAAUGGUCCCCACUUUGGGUAUAUUAUCAUCUAAAUUCACUUUUCUUAUGCGCGUAUUCUGAUAGAUUCACUUCAACGUAUCGAUCUUGUUUCAAUGCAGGGUGAUUUCAUCAACUGAUAUAACAGGGUAGUUUUUGGUAAGCAAUUUGUGAUUUUAUUGUGGUAAGACUCUACAACAGCUUGCACUGCCGUUUGAAGCCUUGGCUGUUGCAACUUAUGUCGUUCGUGCAGCUGUGCUGGUCGCUUUUUGGCUUUUGGCUCGUAUGCAUUUUGCUAGCUGGUUGUCGUUAUUGGUCAUGGCUUGAGUAGUGGUGUAGCAUGGGUUAUGCUUAUCCGGACAUGGCUUGUAGCUUAUUAUAUUCUUUUUGGAAGUUUAUUUCUUGCUGUAAUGUAAUUAAGGACCUAGGAUUGUUAUAUUUGACCUUAUGAUGUGCUCCUGUUAAAGGCAAUUCAAGCAACUAUGUUUGUAAAUCCAUAAUUUGUUCAGUUAAUGUAAUUCCAAAUUGGUACUUUUAAA